rnacentral:snRNA from 1 species
GGCUGUGAGGGUGGCCUAGCUGCCAUAUCUGCCACUCCAUUGAUCAACACUGAUUCACCUGAUCUGGCUAGUUAGGCAGGUUUCACAUUGCUCCCUCACAGCUCCAUGAGUAUCUUUCCCAAAGCUACGCACUUGGUGGAAGAAGACAGACCUUCCUCAAUAGAAGAGGACUGUUCCUUGCUCAAGGGUAACCAAGUAGCUGUGAUUCCCUGCUAGAACCUCCAAGCAAGCUCUCAAGAUGCGUAACAUGGCAGACAGCACCACGUGGGGGAGGGAAAGGGAGCAUGCAAAGUCGGGUCCUUCUUCCUCUUCUC